CCUACGGGAGGCAGCAGUGGGGAAUAUUGCGCAAUGGGCGAAAGCCUGACGCAGCGACGCCGCGUGAGGGAUGAAGGCCUUCGGGUCGUAAACCUCUUUCAGCAGGGAAGAAGCGCAAGUGACGGUACCUGCAGAAGAAGCACCGGCUAACUACGUGCCAACAGCCGCGGUAAUACGUAGGGUGCAAGCGUUGUCCGGAAUUAUUGGGCGUAAAGAGCUCGUAGGCGGUCUGUCGCGUCUGCUGUGAAAACCUAGGGCUUAACUCUGGGCGUGCAGUGGGUACGGGCAGACUAGGGUGCGGUAGGGGAGACUGGAAUUCCUGGUGUAGCGGUGAAAUGCGCAGAUAUCAGGAGGAACACCGGUGGCGAAGGCGGGUCUCUGGGCCGUAACUGACGCUGAGGAGCGAAAGCAUGGGGAGCGAACAGGAUUAGAUACCCUGGUAGUCCAUGCCGUAAACGUUGGGCGCUAGGUGUGGGGUCCAUUCCACGGAUUCUGCGCCGCAGCUAACGCAUUAAGCGCCCCGCCUGGGGAGUACGGCCGCAAGGCUAAAACUUAAAUGAAUUGACGG
rnacentral:rRNA from 1 species